UACGGAGGGUGCAAGCGUUAUCCGGAUUUACUGGGUUUAAAGGGUGCGUAGGUGGGUCUGUAAGUCAGUGGUGAAAUCUCCGAGCUUAACUCGGAAACUGCCAUUGAUACUAUAGGUCUUGAAUUAUCUGGAGGUAAGCGGAAUAUGUCAUGUAGCGGUGAAAUGCUUAGAUAUGACAUAGAACACCAAUUGCGAAGGCAGCUUACUACGGAUUGAUUGACACUGAGGCACGAAAAGCGUGGGGGAUCAAACAGG
rnacentral:rRNA from 1 species